UAGGGAAUCUUCGGCAAUGGACGAAAGUCUGACCGAGCAACGCCGCGUGAGUGAAGAAGGUUUUCGGAUCGUAAAACUCUGUUGUUAGAGAAGAACAAGGACGUUAGUAACUGAACGUCCCCUGACGGUAUCUAACCAGAAAGCCACGGCUAACUACGUGCCAGCAGCCGCGGUAAUACGUAGGUGGCAAGCGUUGUCCGGAUUUAUUGGGCGUAAAGCGAGCGCAGGCGGUUUCUUAAGUCUGAUGUGAAAGCCCCCGGCUCAACCGGGGAGGGUCAUUGGAAACUGGGAGACUUGAGUGCAGAAGAGGAGGGUGGAAUUCCAUGUGUAGCGGUGAAAUGCGUAGGUAUAUGGAGGAAAACCAGUGGCGAAGGCGGCUCUCUGGUCUGUAACUGACGCUGAGGCUCGAAAGCGUGGGGAGCAAACAGG
rnacentral:rRNA from 1 species